ACUUCAGCAAAACACGGGUGGAGGAGCCCUCAGCGCCCGCGCCGCUCCGCGCCGCUCCGCCGCAGACCCCGCUUACCCACCCUCCGCGGCCCCGGGGGACGGGACGGGACGGGACGAGGGAGGCGAGGCGGGAGCUGGCUCGCUCCGCGGCACGCUCCGUUAACGGCCCGAGUUCGGAGCGGGGGUCGGCUGCAGCCGCAGCACGCCUCCGCGGCAGCCCGAGGCCGAGGCUGCUAUAGCAACGCGGAGGACGCCGGCGCCGAGCGGAGCCUGAAGGACGGAGCCCGAAGGACGGAUCCCGGCCAUGCCCUUCACCGAGCGCGCCUACUACCCGCCGGCUGCGGGGGGAGCCGGGGCCGGCGCGGGGUCGGCGCCGUUUCCCGCCUUCCAGUUCCGCGAGCGCCAUGAGGGCCCGGACUGGCGGCGGCUGAGCGCCGUGGACGUGUGCCGGGUGUCGUGGGAGGGGGACGUGGCGGCCCUGCAGGAGCACCUGGAGCACGUCACCUUCUGCAGCGCCGAGCGGGAGCGCUGCCCGCACUGCCAGGGCCCCGCCGACCCGCUGCUGCUGAAGCUGCUGCGCCUGGCCCAGCUCUGCACCGAGUACCUGCUGCACUCCCAGGAGUACCUCAGCGCCCAGCUCGGCAGCCUCGAGGAGGCCCUGCGCGCCGCCCUGGCCCAGCGCGACCAGCUGGGCAAGGAGGUGACCCAGCGCUCGCAGGAGAUCAAGGCGCUCAAGGAGGAGUGCCGGCGGAGGAAGAAGAUGAUCAGCACCCAGCAGAUGAUGCUGGAGGCCCGAGCCAGCUACCACCAGUGUCAGCUUUGUGAAAAGGCUUUUAUGAACUAUUCAUUUUUACAAAGUCACAUGCAAAGACGUCAUCCAGAAGAAUCUCAAAUUGAGCAGAAGAGGAAAGCAAAGACAGACAAAUUGCAGGAUGAGAUUGAUAAACUGAAGGAGCAGUUGCAGCUCACCAAGUCCCAGUUAGAGGCUGAACAGCAGGCUAACAUGGUCAGGUUUUCUAAGGAAUGUGAACAGCAAAAAUCAAAAGAAGAAGAAAUUCUGCAAUCAUUUCAUAAAUGGAAAGAGGAGGAAAAAGAGAAAUUGGCUGAUGAAAUAGAAAAAGUGAAAGAGAUGUUUAUGAAAGAGCUUAAGGAGUUAUCGUCAAGAAAUUCAGCAUUAGAAAAUCAACUGGUAGAAUUACAAAAGUCGAAUAUGCCACAAAAAUCCAAUUUAGGGACACUGAAAGACAGCCAGGACUUUACAGAAGAGGAACCUCAGAGUCCUCAGGAUUACCGCGACGUGGUCAAACUUCUUGAAAAGCAGGAAAGUAAGUGGACAUCUAGAAUACAAGCCUUGAAUCAUGACCAUGAGACAGAAAAGUCUCUCCUACUGUCACAGAUUGAGAAGCUUAAAUUAUCAGUGAGAGAAGACCUGAAUAAAAAUAAUGCCUUUUACAAGAGGAGGAUAGAAGAAUUGGGGCAGAGGCUUCAGGAACAGAAUGAUCUGGUUAUUACUCAGAAGAAGCAGAUAAAAGAAUUGUCCACAAGAUCAAUUGCAAACAUUAAACCAUAUGAUGUGAACACCACUGUAGAGCAUCUUCAAGAAUCUAAACCAAGUCUACAAGUGAUGCAUGAGCAGGCACCCUUGGUGCAUAUGCUGGAGCCCAUAGAGGAGCUUUCAGAAGAGGAAAAAGAAACUGAGAGAGUUGAUCGUAAAACAGGUAGAAGUAACCAGUAUUUAUUAAAUGCUUUGAAGACUGAUCCUUCUUUAACUAAAAAAUUACGAGUGUUUUUGGAGCAAGCCUUGGAGGAGAAGCUGGAAUCUUUGGGAAUUAAAGCAGGUGUCCGUGGUAUACCAAAUGAUCGCUUAAAUAAAAUUUUGCAUGCUAUUGAAUCUGCUAGAGAAUGCAAACAGAAGCAAGAGCCUGACUUUCACCGAAUUCGAGAGCAUCUUGAACGCCAAGUCAGCUUUAGGGCUGAAGAGAAAUCAUUGUCUUGUAAUAGACCUGUUUCCUGUCCUCAGCUUCCUUCAGAAGAUAAACAGAGGCACAAUCAACUGGGAAUUUCCUCAACUGCCACACCACGAAAACGAGUAAAACGCUCUUCAACAGCUGUCCGUCCAUCCGAACAAAGAACAGCCAUCACUGAGAAUACAUCUACACCCAAAUCCACGAAGCUUUUGGGAAAUGGAGCUGCCAGGAAGACAUCUAGCAACACAACUCCACCAUUCAGUUCAGAAGAAGAAGUGGAUGAAGAUGAUAUUAAACAGUCUUACAUAUCACCAGAAUUAUUGCAAAAACAGUCAAAAACAUCAAACAGCAAAGUCAGUGUUCUUCAGAAGGCUUCUGGCAAAAGCAGUAUGGAUGGGACAGAGGAAAGCGAAAUUGAUGAAACUGAAACACCUGCCAAAACUUCAAAAGGAACAGUUAUUCAAAAGCUGACUGAACAAGUUGGAAAGAGUCUUUCUAACCAUGGAAAUAAGAGCAAACCAGCUGGAGGGGUUAAUGUUGCACAGGCAUUUAUAAAGAAAGAAGAGGUGAAAGAACUGAAGCCCCUGAAUCUCAAGGCAGGGAUUGGGGGGAUGAAGUCCCUCCCAUCAUUGGAGAAGAUCAGGUUUGAGACCACUAGAGGAAUCUGAACGUCCAUGGGACCGAACAAGAUACUGCCCAGGGUUCUAAAUUGGCUGAUGUAGUUGCCAAGCCACUCUCCAUAUUUGAAAAGUCAUGGCAUUCAGGUGAAGUCCCUGACUGGAAAAAAGGGAACCCGCAAACCCAUUUUGAAAAAGGAGUAAAAAGGAUCACCGUGGAAGAACCAGCUGCUCUGCCUCACCUCUGUGCCUGGUCAGAUGGUGGAACAGAUCCUCCUGGAAGACAUGUUGAAACACACAGAAGACUAGAAGGUGAUUGGAGACAGCCAACAUGCCUUCACCAAGGGCAAAUUUUGCCUGGCUAAUCUGGUGGCCUUCUACGAUGGAGUGACUGCAUCAGUGGACAAGGGAAGAGCUAUGGAUGUCAUCUUCCUGAACUCUUUCACAGAAGUUGAAGAAGAUGAUUGGGAUAUAUCAUCAGUAGAAGACGACUUUUUAUUGAUGAAAGACAAUACAGGUCAGAAGGCAUUGACAGUUCAGAAAAAUGAGUCAAACGCUGCAUCUUCAGUACAUGCAUGGUGUGUUCCGAAGACAAGUGUACCAAAGGAGGAAGGCCUUCAUGAAGCUGAUAACACAAGCACAUUAAAAAGCAGCUUAGUCACUGUAACAGAUUGGAGUGAUUCUUCAGAUGUAUAAUAGCUGUGUUCCUGGUGGGAGGCACUGCUUUUGGGUUCAGUUGGAGUUGAAAAUACAGCUGAAAACACAAA